CACGUAGGCGGCUUUGUAAGUCGGAUGUGAAAUCCCUAGGCUUAACCAAGGAACUGCAUUCGAAACUACAAAGCUUGAGUACGGGAGAGGGUUGUGGAAUUCCCGGUGUAGAGGUGAAAUUCGUAGAUAUCGGGAGGAACACCAGUGGCGAAGGCGACAGCCUGGACCGAUACUGACGCUGAGGUGCGAAAGCGUGGGGAGCAAACA
rnacentral:rRNA from 1 species